rnacentral:tmRNA from 1 species
UCCACUUCCAAUUAAGGUUGGAUCGCCUAUAUAGGGCGCGUCGGGCAACCGACUAUGGUGAUAAACUGCGGCGUGCAAUAGGCGCAACGGACCCGGGGGCAGUACCCGGCGGCUCCACCACAACCCUCUGUUUCGCAGGGGUUUCUGACGGGGCCGAACCAGGAUCGACGUGUGUUGAAAGGCGUUGUUUUUACCCGGGCUGAGUAACCCGUUAAAGGCUCAAAACCAAUAAGUGCCAACGAUAACGAAGCACUUGCUCUCGCAGCGUAAUUCUAGGGCCUAACGGCCUGAAUUUACAAAGCUAAAGCGCGGUUGGACCCGCCGGUCAACAGAAGUGGAUUCCGGGGGCCCGGGGGAGCCUAGCAACAGAAUUCCCCCACC